UGGUGUAGCGGUGAAAUGCUUAGAUAUCACGAAGAACUCCGAUUGCGAAGGCAGCCUGCUAAGCUGCAACUGACAUUGAGGCUCGAAAGUGUGGGUAUCAAACAGGAUUAGAUACCCUGGUAGUCCACACGGUAAACGAUGAAUACUCGCUGUUUGCGAUAUACAGCAAGCGGCCAAGCGAAAGCGUUAAGUAUUCCACCUGGGGAGUACGCCGGCAACGGUGAAACUCAAAGGAAUUGACGGGGGCCCGCACAAGCGGAGGAACAUGUGGUUUAAUUCGAUGAUACGCGAGGAACCUUACCCGGGCUUAAAUUGCAGAUGAAUUACGGUGAAAGCCGUAAGCCGCAAGGCAUCUGUGAAGGUGCUGCAUGGUUGUCGUCAGCUCGUGCCGUGAGGUGUCGGCUUAAGUGCCAUAACGAGCGCAACCCUUGUUGUCAGUUACUAACAGGUUCUGCUGAGGACUCUGACAAGACUGCCAUCGUAAGAUGUGAGGAAGGUGGGGAUGACGUCAAAUCAGCACGGCCCUUACGUCCGGGGCUACACACGUGUUACAAUGGGGGGUACAGAGGGCCGCUACCACGCGAGUGGAUGCCAAUCCCCAAAACCUCUCUCAGUUCGGACUGGAGUCUGCAACCCGACUCCACGAAGCUGGAUUCGCUAGUAAUCGCGCAUCAGCCACGGCGCGGUGAAUACGUUCCCGGGCCUUGUACACACCGCCCGUCAAGCCAUGGGAGCCGGGGGUACCUGAAGUGCGUAACCGCGAGGAGCGCCCUAGGGUAAAACUGGUGACUGGGGCUAAGUCGUAACAAGGUAGCCGUACCGGAAGGUGCGGCUG
rnacentral:rRNA from 1 species